AUUGAACGCUGGCGGCAGGCUUAACACAUGCAAGUCGAACGAGUGGCGGACGGGUGAGUAAUGUCUGGGAAACUGCCUGAUGGAGGGGGAUAACUACUGGAAACGGUAGCUAAUACCGCAUACCAUCGGAUGAGCCCAGGUGGGAUUAGGUAGUUGGUGGGGUAAAGGCUCACCAAGCCGACGAUCCCUAGCUGGUCUGAGAGGAUGACCAGCCACAUUGGGACUGAGACACGGUCCAGACUCCUACGGGAGGCAGCAGUGGGGAAUAUUGCGCAAUGGGCGCAAGCCUGAUGCAGCCAUGCCGCGUGGAUGAAGAAGGCCUUCGGGUUGUAAAGUACUUUCAGCGGGGAGGCGUUACCCGCAGAAGAAGCACCGGCUAACUCCGUGCCAGCAGCCGCGGUAAUUC
rnacentral:rRNA from 1 species